UUAAGCGACCAAGCGUACACGGUGGAUGCCCUGGCAGUCAGAGGCGAUGAAGGACGUGCUAAUCUGCGAAAAGCGCCGGUAAGGUGAUAUGAACCGUUAUAACCGGCGAUGUCCGAAUGGGGAAACCCAGUGUGACUCGUCACACUAUCAUUAACUGAAUCCAUAGGUUAAUGAGGCGAACCGGGGGAACUGAAACAUCUAAGUACCCCGAGGAAAAGAAAUCAACCGAGAUUCCCCCAGUAGCGGCGAGCGAACGGGGAGGAGCCCAGAGCCUGAAUCAGCAUGUGUGUUAGUGGAAGCGUCUGGAAAGGCGCGCGAUACAGGGUGACAGCCCCGUACACAAAAGCGCAUGUGCUGUGAGCUCGAUGAGUAGGGCGGGACACGUGGUAUCCUGUCUGAAUAUGGGGGGACCAUCCUCCAAGGCUAAAUACUCCUGACUGACCGAUAGUGAACCAGUACCGUGAGGGAAAGGCGAAAAGAACCCCGGCGAGGGGAGUGAAACAGAACCUGAAACCGUGUACGUACAAGCAGUGGGAGCCCCACCACUAAGCCAGUGGUGAACUCCACAUACGCAUCCUUUGCGGAAGAUACGGUUAACGGAGCGAAAGCGACGUUCAACCGCAAAAGAAGCAGAGGGGGCUUAGUGGUGGGGUGACUGCGUACCUUUUGUAUAAUGGGUCAGCGACUUAUAUUCUGUAGCAAGGUUAACCGAAUAGGGGAGCCGGAGGGAAACCGAGUCUUAACCGGGCGUUAAGUUGCAGGGUAUAGACCCGAAACCCGGUGAUCUAGCCAUGGGCAGGUUGAAGGUUGGGUAACACUAACUGGAGGACCGAACCGACUAAUGUUGAAAAAUUAGCGGAUGACCUGUGGCUGGGGGUGAAAGGCCAAUCAAACCGGGAGAUAGCUGGUUCUCCCCGAAAGCUAUUUAGGUAGCGCCUCGUGAAUUCAUCUCCGGGGGUAGAGCACUGUUUCGGCCAGGGGGCCAUCCCGGCUUACCAACCCGAUGCAAACUGCGAAUACCGGAGAAUGUUAUCACGGGAGACACACGGCGGGUGCUAACGUCCGUCGUGAAGAGGGAAACAACCCAGACCGCCAGCUAAGGUCCCAAAGUCAUGGUUAAGUGGGAAACGAUGUGGGAAGGCCCAGACAGCCAGGAUGUUGGCUUAGAAGCAGCCAUCAUUUAAAGAAAGCGUAAUAGCUCACUGGUCGAGUCGGCCUGCGCGGAAGAUGUAACGGGGCUAAACCAUGCACCGAAGCUGCGGCAGCGACACUGUGUGUUGUUGGGUAGGGGAGCGUUCUGUAAGCCUGCGAAGGUGUGCUGUGAGGCAUGCUGGAGGUAUCAGAAGUGCGAAUGCUGACAUAAGUAACGAUAAUGCGGGUGAAAAACCCGCACGCCGGAAGACCAAGGGUUCCUGUCCAACGUUAAUCGGGGCAGGGUGAGUCGACCCCUAAGGCGAGGCCGAAAGGCGUAGUCGAUGGGAAACGGGUUAAUAUUCCCGUACCUGGUGUUACUGCGAAGGGGGGACGGAGAAGGCUAUGUUGGCCGGGCGACGGUUGUCCCGGUUUAAGCGUGUAGGUGUGUGUUCCAGGAAAAUCCGGUUCACUUUAACACUGAGGCGUGACGACGAGGCACUACGGUGCUGAAGCAACAAAUGCCCUGCUUCCAGGAAAAGCCUCUAAGCCUCAGGUAACAUCAGAUCGUACCCGAAACCGACACAGGUGGUCAGGUAGAGAAUACCAAGGCGCUUGAGAGAACCCGGGUGAAGGAACUAGGCAAAAUGGUGCCGUAACUUCGGGAGAAGGCACGCUGACAUGUAGGUGAAGCGGUUUACCCGUGGAGCUGAAGUCAGUCGAAGAUACCAGCUGGCUGCAACUGUUUAUUAAAAACACAGCACUGUGCAAACACGAAAGUGGACGUAUACGGUGUGACGCCUGCCCGGUGCCGGAAGGUUAAUUGAUGGGGUCAGCGCAAGCGAAGCUCCUGAUCGAAGCCCCGGUAAACGGCGGCCGUAACUAUAACGGUCCUAAGGUAGCGAAAUUCCUUGUCGGGUAAGUUCCGACCUGCACGAAUGGCGUAAUGAUGGCCAGGCUGUCUCCACCCGGGACUCAGUGAAAUUGAACUCGCUGUGAAGAUGCAGUGUACCCGCGGCAAGACGGAAAGACCCCGUGAACCUUUACUAUAGCUUGACACUGAACACUGGUCCUUGAUGUGCAGGAUAGGUGGGAGGCUUUGAAGUGUGGACGCCAGUCUGCAUGGAGCCGUCCUUGAAAUACCACCCUUUAAUGGCUGGUGUUCUAACGUAGACCCGUGAACCGGGUUGCGGACAGUGUCUGGUGGGUAGUUUGACUGGGGCGGUCUCCUCCUAAAGCGUAACGGAGGAGCACGAAGGUUGGCUAAUCCUGGUCGGACAUCAGGAGGUUAGUGCAAUGGCAUAAGCCAGCUUGACUGCGAGCGUGACGGCGCGAGCAGGUGCGAAAGCAGGUCAUAGUGAUCCGGUGGUUCUGAAUGGAAGGGCCAUCGCUCAACGGAUAAAAGGUACUCCGGGGAUAACAGGCUGAUACCGCCCAAGAGUUCAUAUCGACGGCGGUGUUUGGCACCUCGAUGUCGGCUCAUCACAUCCUGGGGCUGAAGUAGGUCCCAAGGGUAUGGCUGUUCGCCAUUUAAAGUGGUACGCGAGCUGGGUUUAGAACGUCGUGAGACAGUUCGGUCCCUAUCUGCCGUGGGCGCUGGAGAACUGAGGGGGGCUGCUCCUAGUACGAGAGGACCGGAGUGGACGCAUCACUGGUGUUCGGGUUGUCAUGCCAAUGGCACUGCCCGGUAGCUAAAUGCGGAAGAGAUAAGUGCUGAAAGCAUCUAAGCACGAAACUUGCCCCGAGAUGAGUUCUCCCUGAGACUACAAGUCUCCUGAAGGAACGUUGAAGACGACGACGUUGAUAGGCCGGGUGUGUAAGCGCAGCGAUGCGUUGAGCUAACCGGUACUAAUGAACCGUGAGGCUUAACCUU
rnacentral:rRNA from 1 species